AGAGCGAACGCUGGCGGCAGGCUUAACACAUGCAAGUCGAGCGGGCGUAGCAAUACGUCAGCGGCAGACGGGUGAGUAACGCGUGGGAACAUACCUUUUGGUUCGGAACAACACAGGGAAACUUGUGCUAAUACCGGAUAAGCCCUUACGGGGAAAGAUUUAUCGCCGAAAGAUUGGCCCGCGUCUGAUUAGCUAGUUGGUGAGGUAACGGCUCACCAAGGCGACGAUCAGUAGCUGGUCUGAGAGGAUGAUCAGCCACAUUGGGACUGAGACACGGCCCAAACUCCUACGGGAGGCAGCAGUGGGAAUAUUGGACAAUGGGCGCAAGCCUGAUCCAGCCAUGCCGCGUGAGUGAUGAAGGCCCUAGGGUUGUAAAGCUCUUUGUGCGGAAGAUAAUGACGGUACCGCAAGAAUAAGCCCCGGCUAACUUCGUGCCAGCAGCCGC
rnacentral:rRNA from 1 species